rnacentral:rRNA from 1 species
CCUACGGGAGGCAGCAGUGAGGAAUAUUGGUCAAUGGGCGAGAGCCUGAACCAGCCAAGUCGCGUGCGGGAUGACGGUCCUACGGAUUGUAAACCUCUUUUGUCAGGGAGCAAGGCGCCUUACGUGUGGUGCUUUGCGUGUACCUUAUGAAUAAGGACCGGCUAAUUCCGUGCCAGCAGCCGCGGUAAUACGGAAGAUGCGGGCGUUAUCCGGCUUUAUUGGGUUUAAAGGGUGCGCAGGCGGCAGGGGAAAGUCGGCGGUAAAAUUGCGGGACUCAACCUGGCCGAGCCGUGGAAACUGGUGUUCUGGAGUGGGCGAGAAGUAGGCGGAAUGCGUGGUGUAGCGGUGAAAUGCAUAGAUAUCACGCAGAACUCCGAGUGCGAAGGCAGCAUACCGGAGCGCAACUGACGCUCAUGCACGAAAGCGUGGGUAUCGAACAGGAUUAGAUACCCUUGUAGUC